rnacentral:tRNA from 1 species
GGGAGUAUAGCCAAAUGGUAAGGCGAGGGCUCGCAAAGCCCUAGGUUCUGGUUCGAAUCCAGAUACUCCCUUCA